GACGAACGCUGGCGGCGUGCUUAACACAUGCAAGUCGAGCGAGAAAGCCUCUUCGGAGGUGAGUAAAGCGGCGCACGGGUGAGUAACACGUGGGCAACCUACCCUUGAGUCUGGGAUAACCCGGGGAAACUCGGGCUAAUACCAGAUACGGCUGCGGGGUCUUCGGAUCCUGGUGGAGAAAGAUGGCCUCUUCUUGAAAGCUAUCUCUCGAGGAUGGGCCCGCGUCCUAUUAGCAGUUGGUGAGGUAACGGCUCACCAAGGCAAAGAUGGGUAGCUGGUCUGAGAGGAUGGCCAGCCACACUGGAACUGAGACACGGUCCAGACUU
rnacentral:rRNA from 1 species